UACGAAGGGAGCUAGCGUUGUUCGGAAUUACUGGGCGUAAAGCGCACGUAGGCGGACUUGUCAGUCAGGGGUGAAAUCCCAAGGCUCAACCUUGGAACUGCCUCCGAUACAGCAAGUCUUGAGAUCGGGAGAGGUGAGUGGAAUUCCUAGUGUAGAGGUGAAAUUCGUAGAUAUUAGGAAGAACACCAGUGGCGAAGGCGGCUCACUGGCCCGAUACUGACGCUGAGGUGCGAAAGCGUGGGGAGCAAACAGG
rnacentral:rRNA from 1 species